AUUGAACGCUGGCGGCAGGCCUAACACAUGCAAGUCGAACGAGCGGCGGACGGGUGAGUAAUGUCUGGGAAUCUGCCUGAUAGAGGGGGAUAACUACUGGAAACGGUGGCUAAUACCGCAUACUAUCGGAUGAACCCAGAUGGGAUUAGCUAGUAGGUGGGGUAAAGGCUCACCUAGGAGACGAUCUCUAGCUGGUCUGAGAGGAUGACCAGGCACACUGGAACUGAGACACGGGCCAGACUCCUACGGGAGGCAGCAGUGGGGAAUAUUGCACAAUGGGCGCAAGCCUGAUGCAGACAUGCCGCGUGUAUGAAGAAGGCCUUAGGGUUGUAAAGUACUUUCAGCGGGGAGGCGUUACCCGCAGAAGAAGCACCGGCUAACUCCGUGCCAGCAGCCGCGGUAAUAC
rnacentral:rRNA from 1 species